UACGAAGGGGGCUAGCGUUGCUCGGAAUCACUGGGCGUAAAGGGUGCGUAGGCGGGUCUUUAAGUCAGGGGUGAAAUCCUGGAGCUCAACUCCAGAACUGCCUUUGAUACUGAAGAUCUUGAGUCCGGGAGAGGUGAGUGGAACUGCGAGUGUAGAGGUGAAAUUCGUAGAUAUUCGCAAAACACCAGUGGCGAAGGCGGCUCACUGGCCCGGUACUGACGCUGAGGCACGAAAGCGUGGGGGAGCAAACAGG
rnacentral:rRNA from 1 species